rnacentral:rRNA from 1 species
UUAUUUAAUCAAUAAAACUAAUCUCCCCGUGAAGAAGCGGGGAUACACCUAUAAGACGAGAAGACCCUGUGGAGCUUUAAACACUUUUAAACAUUUGAAUUUUAUUCUUAUUCUAUCUCAACUAAAUCACUCAUUUUGUUAUAAGUUUUAGGUUGGGGUGACCACGGAGAAUAAACAAACCUCCACGUAGAAAGAACCUUACUUUCUAAGCAAAAAACCACAUUUUUAUGCAUCAAAAUAUUUGACCUAAAUUGACCCAAUUUUUUGAUCAACGAACCAAGUUACCCUAGGGAUAACAGCGCAAUCCGCUUUAAGAGCUCCUAUCGACAAGCGGGCUUACGACCUCGAUGUUGGAUCAG